rnacentral:rRNA from 1 species
AGUCGAACGGUAAGUACGGACUUCGGUCUGGUGGCGAGUGGCGAACGGGUGAGCAAUGUACUGGAACGUGCCUAGUAGCGGGGGAUAACUACGCGCGUAUUAAUACCGCAUACCCUUCGGGGAAAGCGGGGACCUUCGGGCCUCGCACUAAUAGAGCGGCCGAUAUCGGAUUAGCUAGUUGGUGGGGUAACGGCUCACCACAAGGACGAUCCGUAGCUGGUUUGAGGACGACCAGCCACACUGGGACUGAGACACGGCCCAGAUUCUACGGGAGGCAGCAGUGGGGAAUUUGACAAUGGGGAAACCCUGAUCCAGCCAUCCCGCGUGCGAUGAAGGCCUUCGGGUUGUAAAGCACUUUGGCAGGAAAGAAACGGCACGGGAUAAUACCCCGUGCAACUGACGGUACCUGCAGAAUAAGCACUGCAGCGACAUGUGCCAGCAGCGCAGUAAUACGUAGGGGUGCAAGCGUUAACGAAUGCCACAGUGGAGAGGCGGCAAUGGAAAGAAAGAUGUAAAUCCCGAGCCAACUUUGAAACCGUAUUUAAAUUCAACAUUAGAUGUUGCCGCCGGAGUGAGGGUGACCCGCGUAGCAGUGAAUGAGAUAGUGGAGGAAUACCGAGCGAAGGCAGCCUCCUGAUAACACUGACGCCUGAGUGCACGGCGCUGGGCGCAGACGUGGAGUGCUCCUCUGGUAGCCCACGCCCAAACGAACGACCUUUUCAACGAGCUGUUGGGGCCUGGCCUGGUAGCGGUGCCAAUCAUGUGAAGUUGACCGCCUGUGGGAGGGCUGGUCAAAGAUUAAAACCCAAAGGAAUGACGGGACCGCACGCUGGUGGAUGAUGCGGAUUAAUCGAGCAACGCGAAAUCUCACCCGUGACAUGUCUGGAAUCCCGAAGAGAUUUGGAGUUUUAAUCCGGAACACAGGGUGCUGCAUGGCUGGUCGUCAGCUCGUGUCGAGAUGCUGGGUUGUCCCGCAACGAGCGCGAACCUGGUCAUUAGUUGGCAUGAAAGGGCACUCUAUCGAGACUGCCGCAGACAAACGGAGGAAGGUGGGGAUGACGUCAGAACUCGUUAUGGUCUUGCGGUAGGGUCAUGCACAUGAAUGGUCGCGGUACGAGGGCUGCCAACCCGGCGAGGGGGAGCUGACCCAGAAACCCGAUCAGAAUCCGGAUCGCAGUCUGCAACUCACCUGGUAGAAGUCGCAACCGCCAGUAAUCGCGGACCGCAUAUCGCAAGAAUACGUUCCGGCCCACACCGCCGUCAGCAUCAUGAGCGGUCAUCGUAUGAGUGAAGCCCAACCGCAGCGGCGAUUACCACGGUAGGAUCUGGCGACUGGGGCAAGUCGCAUGGCAACCAGGCCAACGAUGCCCGGCGGUGAUGGAAGCAACGAAUCGCAAGCGC